rnacentral:misc_RNA from 1 species
GAUGAAGAACGUAGCGAAAUGCGAUAAGUAAUGUGAAUUGCAGAAUUCAGUGAAUCAUCGAAUCUUUGAACGCACAUUGCGCCCCUUGGUAUUCCGAGGGGCAUGCCUGUUCGAGCGUCAUUAUAACCCUCAAGCUCAGCUUGGUGUUGGGGCCUGCUGCACUGGCAGCCCUUAAAAUCAGUGGCGGCGCCAUCUGGCUCUAAGCGUAGUAAUUCUUCUCGCUAUGGAGUCCUGGUGGAUGCUUGCCAUCAACCCCCAAUUUUUCUAUGGUUGACCUCGGAUCAGGUAGGGAUACUCGCUGAACUUAAGCAUAUCAAUAAGCGGAGGA